rnacentral:rRNA from 1 species
CACGCAGGCGGUCUGUCAAGUCGGAUGUGAAACCCCCGGGCUCAACCUGGGAACUGCAUUCGAAACUGGCAGGCUAGAGUCUUGUAGAGGGGGGUAGAAUUCCAGGUGUAGCGGUGAAAUGCGUAGAGAUCUGGAGGAAUACCGGUGGCGAAGGCGGCCCCCUGGACAAAGACUGACGCUCAGGUGCGAAAGCGUGGGGAAGCAAACA